AACAAUAUCCUGGUGCUGCCCGAGUGUUUCUCACAGACUCCAGCAUCAGUGAUUUUGUUGC
rnacentral:pre_miRNA from 1 species